rnacentral:rRNA from 1 species
AGAGUUUGAUCAUGGCUCAGGAUGAACGCUAGCGGCAGGCCUAAUACAUGCAAGUCGAACGGGCGAUAGCAAUAUCGCUAGUGGCGCACGGGUGCGUAACGCGUAACCAACCUACCCACAACUGGGGGAUAGCCCGCCGAAAGGCGGAUUAAUACCGCAUAAACCAGCAGCCUGGCAUCAGGUAAUUGGUAAAGAUUUAUUGGUUGUGGAUGGGGUUGCGUAGCAUUAGCUAGAUGGCGGGGUAACGGCCCACCAUGGCGACGAUGCUUAGGGGACCUGAGAGGGUGAUCCCCCACACUGGCACUGAGAUACGGGCCAGACUCCUACGGGAGGCAGCAGUAGGGAAUAUUGGGCAAUGGGCGAGAGCCUGACCCAGCCAUGCCGCGUGCCGGAUGAAGGCCUUCUGGGUUGUAAACGGCUUUUCUCAGGGAAGAAAAAAGACCCUGCGGGGUACACUGACGGUACCUGAGGAAUAAGCACCGGCUAACUCCGUGCCAGCAGCCGCGGUAAUACGGAGGGUGCAAGCGUUGUCCGGAUUUAUUGGGUUUAAAGGGUGCGUAGGUGGCCUGUUAAGUCCGGGGUGAAAGCCCACAGCUCAACUGUGGAACUGCCCUGGAUACUGGCGGGCUUGAGUCCAGACGAGGUUGGCGGAAUGGAUGCUGUAGCGGUGAAAUGCAUAGAUAGCAUCCAGAACCCCGCUUGCGUAGGCAGCUGACUAGGCUGGUACUGACACUGAGGCACGAAAGCGUGGGGAGCGAACAGGAUUAGAUACCCUAGUAGUCC